ACUUUCCCAUAUUCAUCCAGUUGAGCAUCAAUCUAUUCAAUAACACAGCUUAUUGAGACUCCAUGAAUGUACAGUUGAAAGGCUGGUACUUUUCCUUCCAUUAAAAAGAAAUCUAUAUAAAAGCAUUGGUCAUGAAAUUUUAUGCUCUCUGAGAUUUUUCAAGAGGAGACAGAUUUGGGAACUGAGAGUACUUUAGCAUAUUCCUCUGUUUUCUUGUUUUGGUGUUUUAUUCUUUCGAAUUAUAGGAGUGCUUUUUAACUCUGAUGGUUGUUUCAGGAUUCAUUAAGUACAGUAGUUACAGUUCAAAAAAUGUCGUGAGCCUAUCAGAUUAAUAAGCCUGAAGUUUUUCAGCUCCUUUUCUCCAUUCUUCUAAAAGAAAUCCCUGUUGUAAAAUUUUUUGAACAGUGUUCAUGAUGUCUCCUUUGAUAUCAAGUAUACUUAUGGUUCAAGUUUUUACUAAGCUUACUUGAAUUUUCUUUUUCUUUUCUGAUGUAGUCAUCUUGAUAGUUAAACAAAUGAGUAAACCAAAUCUAAAGUUGUUACUUGUCCGAAUUUGCCAAUUGACAUACAAGCUUCUUAUUUACAAUAAUAGGAGCACUAUACCAUAAUCUCUGUAGCUUUACUACAAAUACUGAAGAUAUUGAAGUCCAACCAAACUGAGCAUGGGUGGAUAGAACAUUUGUUUUAGUAGAGAUUGCAAUGAGAGAGUAGUUGAGUAACUCAUAUCCUCGGAUUUCUAGGCAAUACCUCUGAGUUGGCUUAAGAACCAGAUUAUUUAAUCUGUUCUGGGAGCAAAAGAGGUGUUUUUACAAUCAAGGAUUUGAAAAACUAAGGUCCUCUUGUUUUUUCUGGGCAGUGGUCCAUGAUACAGUGCUGACACAUCAAAAUAUGCAAAGAAAAAGCAGUAAUAUUUAUAGCAUAUGCUUUAUGUGCGAGGCAGAAACUUUAGAUUUUAUCAAAAGCAAAGUGGUAGUAACUGAUCUUUGUUUUGAUGUUUUCGAUAUAAGUAUUCACUGACAUGAAAAUUGCCUUGUGUCUUUCCGUUUGAACCCUAUGAUAGGCAUUGAACUGUUACAUCAGAAUUCAUGGCAUGGAAGUUAUUCAAGAGCACCAUGGCAAUAACUUUCCAAACCUGACUCUCAGCAUUAGAUAUGACUCUGACAUUUGAAGUUGUUUUAUAGUGCAGUUCAUCAUUGUGGAUCCUUUCUUUCUUGCAGAUACCUCAAGAAGAGAAAAAUCUACGUAUGUCUCGUUCAACAUUUUUUCUGACCCUUUUUUUAUUGUGUAGAUGGCGGGUGAUAAUAGGGAUAAGGCUAUUGCUAAAGCCCCGAAAAAAUCAAAAAAGAAGAGUCAGUUUAUACCACCAGAGGGCGUAAUGCCAGGAACCCUUAGGAUUCCUGCCAAAUAUUGAUCUACUCCCCCAUACCUCUCACCACGUGGCCCUUCAUUGCCACAGUAUGGGGAAGUCAAUGGGUUGGCAUUUAGUCAGCCGACUCAUGUAACCAUGCACCCAUUUUUUUGGUCUCAAGGCCAAACAGAACCACAGGGUCGAUCUCAAUACCCUGGCACACCUUGCACCAUCUCACAUGGCCUCCCUGAUUAUUAUCAUGUAUCUCGCAGUACUUCGACAGCUACUCCCAGUUCGACUAUAUUACAGCUAUCGACCUCAUAUAACCCAAAUGAUGUGACGUCGGGACAUCAAGAAAGUAACUUUGAUUCUGACGAUGAACCUCCCCAACAAGGAGACCUUGAGACAGUUAAUGACUUCUAUCCGGGCAAAGCAACUAAAAGAGUUUCACAGUCAGUCAAAUCACUCUAAAGAGGCGCCAUUUCGUCUUGGGGCAAGGUGUCAGUGGAUUUGAAGAAGCAGAUGUUUGUAGAGUUCAGGACAAAGUGUUCUUGGAAGCCAGAACAUGAGAUUAGUAGCGCAGAAUUUCGAGAAAAAGGUGGGGACUAUACUUAAGCAUGCGCUACGUAGAGCCCGUGAAAAAGUUCUGAAGCCUAAGUGGAUCUGUGAUGAUAAUUGGAAGAAGCUACUGCACUUCUGGGCGACUGAUCCGAUGUUUUUGAAGCAAAGUGAAAAUGGGAAGAAGGCCAAGGCCUCAGAUAAGGUUGGAUUUCGACACACUAGUGGGGCCACCAGCCAUGAGGACGUUAGGAUGAAGCUGAUAUGUAACUCUCUUUAGCUUUGGCUGUCUAUUAUGCAAUUUAAUCUUUCCAUUGCUUUCGUUGGUUGCAAUUUAAUCCUCACCGCUGAGUAUUCUACUUGCAGAAGAAAGGAAUAGGAUGUUAAAGGGAGUGGGAUUGAACAAAUUUCUUAAUUUCUACCAUUAUACCCUUAGGUUAACCAUCAUUUAGAAGGGAAUAAAUAAUUUCUUACUCACACCGAAACUGAAUGUUCUCAUUUGCUAUGUCGGAUUGAAGAACUGGAAAUGUGGGUGUCUAGUAAUUUUUGGAGGAACACGUUGGUAUCAUAUGUUACCUCAUGUAUUUACUACUUGGUUUUUAAAGAACA